rnacentral:lncRNA from 7 species
AAGCAACAUUGACCGCAAAGGGCCAUCCGCUGCGGUCAGUGUAGGUUUCUGAAUCAUAGCUUGGCGAUGCCUGAGGCUAGACAAAUACUGAGCUAGCCUUCAGAAAAAAAAGAAAAGAAAGAGAUUGAGAAGCAGGGAGAAAAAAUGGCACUGGCCCAUUGAGGAAGCUUGAGAACCAGUUAACAAGAAUUGCCAACAUAUUCUUGGACAAUCUUGUUAACAGAGUUUUAAGGUUUCCCAGCAGAGAAGAGCGCGUGCAACCACCACAUUCAUAUAAUUAAUAAGCGGUAGCGCCGCGGCCAAGGACACCACCGCGGCCGCGCCGGAGGAGGUGGCGGCGUCGGCGUCGGCGACCGCACCCGCCGUGGACGACGACUAGGGAUAUAUAAUCCAAGUUGCUGCGGCCUCGUAUAAGAACUUUUGGAGAUGAAAUUAACAUGCCGAAAGGUACUUAAUCAUAUGGUAUUCAGAAGGGCACGUGCAAUGGGGAGUUCAAGGUCACGUACAUUAGCAUUCUCAGGAGUGGGUGUGCACGCACAAAUGCCAUUUUUUUCUCUCUGUUUCUUUCUCUAAUAUUGAUCCGCUUUUUUGUGGACAUGUUAUCUCGUUCAAGAUUUCGUAUAUAAACUAAUACUUUGGGCGGGAUAUAUAAAUCUGUCUCACUCAUUUAUAUCAUAUGUAUUAUAUAUGCGUUUUUGUUAUGCAAUAUAUAUAUGCAGCUCAAUGCGUGUUU